GAUGAACGCUAGCGGCAGGCCUAAUACAUGCAAGUCGUGGGGCAGCAGGACUGUAGCUAUACAGUUGCUGGCGACCGGCAAACGGGAGCGCAACACGUACGCAGCUUACCCUGAACUGGGGGAUAGCCCGGGGAAACCCGGAUUAAUACCCCGUAAUAUAAUGGAGUGGCAUCACUUUAUUAUUAAAGCUCCGGCGGUUCGGGAUGGGCGUGCGGCUGAUUAGGUAGUUGGUUGAGGUAACGGCUCACCAAGCCUACGAUCAGUAACUGGUGUGAGAGCACGACCAGUCACACGGGCACUGAGACACGGGCCCGAAUGCUACGGGAGGCAGCAGUAAGGAAUAUUGGGCAAUGGAGGCAACUCUGACCCAGCCAUGCCGCGUGGAGGAGGAAGGCCAUCUGGGUUGUAAACUUCUUUUAUAGAAGACGAGUCCUGUGUAUUCUUACGCAGUUGACGGUACCCUAAGAAUAAGCACCGGCUAACUCCGUG
rnacentral:rRNA from 1 species